UUAACGCAAAUUUGUAUGGAGUUGUAACGUUUGCCUAAGUUUGCCGCUAGGGGCGCUGUUCCAACUGCAUACAAAAUUGGGUUA
rnacentral:pre_miRNA from 1 species